rnacentral:rRNA from 1 species
UACGUAGGGGGCAAGCGUUGUCCGGAUUUAUUGGGCGUAAAGAGCGUGUAGGCGGCCAGGUAGGUCCGUUGUGAAAACUGGAGGCUUAACCUCCAGCUGUCGAUGGAAACCAUCUGGCUAGAGUCCGGAAGAGGAGAGUGGAAUUCCUGGUGUAGCGGUGAAAUGCGCAGAUAUCAGGAAGAACACCCGUGGCGAAGGCGGCUCUCGUGGGACGGUACUGACGCUGAGACGCGAAAGCGUGGGGAGCGAACAGG